GCUCACAACCAGUUCACCUGCGUGCCGCCGCCGCUCGCCUGCCGCGCGCCGCGGCUCACGCGGCUCAAUAUGGCUUAUAAUUCGUUGAGGUCGAUGUCAUACGUGACGUCAUACCCAACGAGCCUGCGGCAGUUAGACCUCAGUCACAACGAGAUCACUUGCUGGCCCAGUCUUCCACAGAUCGAGAACUUCGGCUCGACAGAGGGCGACCCUCUCGCGUGCUACUGCGCGCACCCGCCCGCACGCGCGCGCGCACGCUCCGG